rnacentral:rRNA from 1 species
AGCGAACGCUGGCGGCAGGCUUAACACAUGCAAGUCGAACGCCCCGCAAGGGGAGUGGCAGACGGGUGAGUAACACGUGGGAACGUACCUUUUGGUUCGGAACAACACAGGGAAACUUGUGCUAAUACCGGAUAAGCCCUUACGGGGGAAAGAUUUAUCGCCGAAAGAUCGGCCCGCGUCUGAUUAGCUAGUUGGUGAGGUAAAGGCUCACCAAGGCGAUGAUCAGUAGCUGGUCUGAGAGGAUGAUCAGCCACACUGGGACUGAGACACGGCCCAGACUCCUACGGGAGGCAGCAGUGGGGAAUAUUGGACAAUGGGCGCAAGCCUGAUCCAGCCAUGCCGCGUGAGUGAUGAAGGCCCUAGGGUUGUAAAGCUCUUUUGUGCGGGAAGAUAAUGACGGUACCGCAAGAAUAAGCCCCGGCUAACUUCGUGCCAGCAGCCGCGGUAAAGUG